rnacentral:lncRNA from 1 species
CCAGGCGCCGCUGGCUCUGUUCCUCACAAAAGGACACGUCACACCCUGGCAAUCGCCAGAGCCUUGGACUUGGGGACUUUGGAUUUAGGUCAAUGUAAGUAUGGUAUUAAUUUAAAUAGCCGCAGCAGGAAAUGUUCCAGUCCCUCAGACCCAUUUUUGGUCACCGGUAGCUCCUCAUUAAACCUACAACACCCCAUUUUUGGGGAUGGGGAGAGAGGUCUUGACCCCAGCAAGCAUGUGCUCAGCACCGUCCUCUGUGACGCAGCCGAAAGCCCAGCGCUGGCCGUGGUCGCCACCGUGACGUGGCUGCAGGCCUGGGCAGUACCGAACCUGCGCGGGCGGUGGGCACCUCCACGCUAUCGGCAAGUCACGGCUUUGAUGUGUCGCUACGGUCGCUUGCCAGAAAUCAGGCCGUUCCCCUUUGCGGUCCGAGCGGUCGUUGUCCGCCCUCUCGGCAAACACUCCUCGCAGGCUGUGUGCCAGACAUCCCCCCUCCAGAGCUGCUUUUGCUUGAAUCCCAACCUUCUGCUCCGCUCACGAGCCCAAAAUUACGUGGCCACCACCCUCCCACCCUUUUCCCCGUUACCCGCUGCAGGGCUCGGCUGUAAAUGGAGAGCUCGAGUCCUGUUUCAGCACGUGCGAACCGAAACAACCGGAGCAGCAGCUAAAGUCCUGCCCUUGACUUCGCUGAAACCUAGUCAGGUGUCACUCGGCAAAGGAUGUUUCCCAGCGCUGGGCGGUGACACGCAUUGUUAGCGAGGCCAGCCUGAAUCAAGAAAAACAAGUGAAAUGACACCCGGCGAUCGCUUCUUGCUGGCAACACCAGACAUUGUACUUUGACGAGUUAAUAAACAUCUCCCUUGGGAAUUAAGGAGCUCCA